AGGAACAAUUUAUUUCUUAGAAGAGGAAAAUAUAUUUGCCAGCCUAUAACUAUAAGUUGCAAUCUUGUCAUGGCUCUUAACUAUUGGUAUAUAUAUGGAACCUCAACCUUGAAGAGACAAGGAAAAGAGCCCAAGAGUUAAAGAAACCGAAGUGCUUGUGGAAGAAAGGCUUAUGAUAUUAUUAUAUCUAUAGAUUGUGCACCUUCAGCAGUUGAAGCUGCCAGCAUGAUCUGAGCUUGGCUUCUAAUGCUAAGAAUAGAUCAUAUGACAGCUUCACCUCUUGACUGGAAGCAUAUAUACACAAACCCUAAUUUUAGUUUUCAGAUUUUCAAGCUUCUUUAUAUCAUAGAACCCUAGAAAAAAGUUUCUUCAAUUCUUUCUAAUAUAUCAAUACUGUUUCAUUAUAUCAAUAUUGUUUCUCUUCCAAUAUGAAUUCUUGCAGAGAUUGAGAAAGAGAAGGAUGGUGUGGAAUCUGAAAUCAAGUGAUACUGUUUCAUUGUUAUGAAAUCUGAAUUGAAGGGUCACUAAUGCACCACGUGAAUGUGUGAGUGAGUGCAUGAUUUGGAAGAGAAUGAAAAAUGGAAGUAGAUGAAGAAUUAAUGAGAAAUGAAGGCAGCAAUUUGAAUAUAAACUGAGAGUUAGCCCGUAGCAGCAGUUGACAGAGCAGAAUAUCAACACUUGGCAAACUAGCUACUAGCUAGCUGCGGCCCCUUCCACAACAAUGUCAUUCUUCUUUUAGCUGUGUUACCAUCCUAGGAUAUUUGAUCAAUGCAAUUCAUUACACUACUUGUCUUUCGGAUACUGUGUACAAUACUCUUUUCAUUUUUCUUCCCAAAUUUACCAUAUAAUACUUUAUUUUAUUCUUA